rnacentral:lncRNA from 1 species
GAUCCGCCCGUCUCAGCCUCCGAAAGUGCUGGGAUUACAGGUGUGAGCCACCAUACCUGGCCAACCAUGCGUUUCUUAAAGAUAAGUGUUGUGGUUUGCUUUUGGGGAAAAGAGAAAAGGAUUUGUGGUUUUAGUUAGUAAAAUCAUUGAGAGGGAAGGAGACCCAAUUUAUGGAUUAUAGACAUUUGAAAAAAAAUUGUAAUUCCCUUUUCUGUUGUUGGGAUACCAGUUUUUGAUUUUAUUUGUUCAUUAAAUGGUCAGUUCCGUGGAGAUCUCUGGAGCUGAGAUGGCUUUUUAGAAUUGCCCAAUUGAGGCAAAGGGCCAGGGCUUUUUAACCACUGCAUUGGCCAGCCAUUGUCUGUGGGCUUCUCCCAGGGAAGGGCCCUAGUGUUGGGUGAGGCACCUUCCUGCUGCUUGAGACACACUCGGCUGUGAGCCAGCAGCAGGCAGUUCUCCUAGUACCUGGGGGCCUCAAUCCGAAAGAUGCAGUUUAGCCACACAACCUGUAUUAGUUCAUUUUUUGCAUUGCCAUAAAGGAAUACCUGGAGCUGGGUAAUUUAUAACGAAAAGAGGUUAAUUUUGGCUUAUGAUUCUGCAGACUGUACGAGAAGCAUGGCAUCGGCAUCUGCUUUUGUGAAGCCUCAGGAAGCUCACAAUCAUGGCAGGAGGUGAAGGGGGAGCAAGAGUGUCACAUGGCUCAGCAUUACAGUGGGAAAAGUCAAGUAUUUUAGGCUCACACAGAUUUUUCUCUCAGUGACGUGGCAGUUCAUACUUUCCCUCCAAAUAUGACCUGGUAAAUGACUCUGUGGCAUGUUGACUGCAAAUCUGAACUGAAAUGGAAUCUGUAACCCAUUAUCAGAUCCUGAAUCAAGCUGCCUUGUCCUUCUCCAGUUUUUGUUUCAGUGGAAAUGUGUGUUUUUAUUCUGUCAAUGGACAGUUUACAUACCUAAUAUUAAAAGGGAAUUAUAUAAUGAACACUUGAUGUAAAAGAGACUAGUUAAAUACUUCAACUCCAAAAGUUUCCAUUAAAGUAAUAAGGAAAUUACAUUUAAUUUUAACUGGUAGAAAGUUUUAAAAAAUGUUAUUGCUAUUAAGCAUUUAUUACCCACACUCAACCCUUUUUUUGUGAGUGAAUUCCCAAAGCACAAUUCAUCUUUAUACAGGUAGAAAGGAAAUAUUCUUGCAAAAUAUGUAGUUUGAUGUCAUCUUAACUGUGGAGAGAAGCAUAUUUUUCCAAAGAAUAGAAUGUGAUGGUUGAUUGGAAACUUUUGGAGUUACAGGCUAGCUCUACCUCUUGAAAUAAGAAAAUAUAUAUAAAUAGGUCCCCAGAUGAAGGCGUCGUGGGGUACUUUACAGCCCCAAUUGGCUCCAGACACAGAGGCAGUGAUUUGUAAGCAAGCAAUGACAAGAGGAAGUUAAAUCAAAAUUAAAUUAAGAGAAGGAAGAAAAAGAAGAGCUAUCAAGGAGAGGUGAUGAAUUUCCUGAAAGCUUCUAAAUACCUAUCUGUGGGUAAAUGAUUGAAAAUCUGUGAAUAUAUCUCACUUAUGUCAAAAGAUGAAAUCUGGAAACAUUUCAGUCCUAAAAAAAUACCUUACUUGUUAUCUUUGAAGCCUUUUUUUAUUUUUUCAAUUUUUUUUUUGGAGAUAGAGUCUCACUAUGUUGCCCAGGCUGACCUCAAACUCUUGGGCUCAAGCGUCCUCCUGCCUCAGCCUUCUGAGUAGCUGGGAUUAUGCAUGUACACCACCAUGCCUGGCUUCAGAAGUCUUUUCAAAUAUUCAUUACUUGGUACAGUUCAACCAGUACAAGCAUAUUUGCUUCUAUACUUUCCCGUUGACUCAACUGCGAUAAAAUCAGCAUCUUCCAUGGUGCACAUGAAGUCGUAUAUUGGGAGGAUUGGUUUUCCUGUUUACAUUUUGACGUUUUGUUGUUGUUCCAGCUUGUGUAAAUAAAAAUUUAGGAAUUCGAACUCACCAGAGAGCUCCUCCACCCUGACUGCCAUUUUUGCAGUUACAUCUGUCAUUCUCCCUUUUCCUGUCCUCUAUCCAGUUAAUUACCAAGCCCAAGAAGAUAGACACUGUGUUCCACUCCCCUCACAGCACAGAGCACAGUUCAGUACAUAGUAUUUGGAAAUCAAUUAAGUGAAUAAGCACCUGCACUUUCUCUCCGUCUCAUCCAUUCUGCUGCUACCAUAGGAGUUCAGACUCCUACCAUCUUGUGCCUGAGCUGACACAGUAACGGUGAGCCCUCAGUCCCUCUCCAAGCUAAGCCACUGCACGGAAGAUGUUGCUUUCAUCAUUACUUUGGCUCAGAAGCGCUCAGUACCGCUCAUUCUCCACGCAAAGAUUCUCAGAUAUUUGGUCUUUAUAAAGCUAGCCUACCCACCUCCAGUGUUAAACCCCACACUUCCCCCAUCAUCCCACCAGUUUUCACCAUGCUGCUCUGUUAGCAGUCCCCUCAGCUUCUUGCCUCCUUCCUUGGCUCCUGCUAUUUCUCUUGCCUGGACUGCUUGCUCUCCUUCACUUUCUCAAAUUCCAUUGAUCUUGAAAGGCACAUUCUAGCCUAUACUAGUCUCCUCUUGAAUUGAAAGCAUUUGCUGCCUGUAUUCUUACUAUGGAAAUAUGUAUGGCUUGUGACAUCCCUUGCCUUAUUAUUUUGUGUUUUUAUCUAGUAAUAACAUUGUCACUUAACCUUUCAGCUGCGAUUGUGUUAUCUCUCAAAUGAUAUUGUUUAUUUGUGGGCUUAUAUUGGGCACAGGGGAUGGAAAAGGAGAGAGCAGGACUCUAUUUUCAUGCUUCUUUGUAUUUAGCACAGUGGCUCUUGUACCCAGUAAUACAGCCUUUAGACAGAACAGACACCAUAUCUUCUUGGUCUUUGUAUUCCUAGUGCCUUGCAGAGCAUCUGGCCCAUAGUAGGGAUUCAUACAUGGCAUUUGAAUAAAUGAACAGAAGGCACACCUCAAAUAUUUGUUUAGUAGUUUUACCCCCAAACUAAAUGAAUCAACACAGGUAAUUUUCCAUCUUUUAAAAGCCAUAAAAAUCCAGUUUUCCAUUUAGUUUUUUUCAUCAUUAACAGUUCUCCCUCAAGCACUUCUCCUUUGCCUGCCUUGAGCUUCAUACUGAAAUUUAAAUCAAUUUCCUCUCAUUCUUUUCCCUGUGAAAUUGGAGAACAGCUGUUUAGUCACCUCCUUAUAAAUAACCCUUCAACAAGUUAAAUUGCCUCUAGGAUUUGCUUUCUCCAGAUUAAAUUAUCCCAAAGUCUUUUCUUUUUUCUCAUAAAGGCCUUUUCAAAAAGAAACAUUGGUUACUUUUAAAAUUUCUUUUUCUAGCUCUUUAUAAAACUUUAUUCUUUUCAUAAAUGUACCACAGGAUACCCCUAUGUGGGCCUGACUGAUGCUGUCUGGAAUGGAAAGCUUUCCUUCCACAUCUGGAAUCUCAUUCUUCUAUUUUGUGUUGUACCUUGUUAGCUUCUUUUCUUUUCUUUUCUUUUCUUCGUAUCCUAUCAAAUUUAAUUUGCGGUCCACUCUCACCCUCUCCCUGUUUGUCUCCUUUUUCUGUACAUUUCUUCAAAUGUGUGGCUUGAUUUUCUUCCCAUAAACACUAACUUGCUUUAUCAGAAGUCUUACUAAGGUUAUAAGUUACAGAGAAUCCAACACAAAUUAGCUUAAGUGAUCAAAGGAAUUUAUUGAUUUAUAUCACUGAAAAGUCUAGUGGUAUGACUUAACCUCUGGCAUGGCUGGACUCGGUGAACCAAACAGUGUCACCACAGGCCUGGUUUUUCUUACUCCCUCUGUUCUGCCUUGCACACACAGUGUUGGCGCCUUUAAGGCGCCUCUAACGCCCUUGCUUUGUGGCAGCCACUGAGCUGCAGCACUUGCAGGCCUCACUUUCUCAUAAUGCCCCCUCUGGAGGAAGAGAGAGGCUCUUUGCUUGACUGGGUUUCACUUUCUCUUACUGGCUCAAAUUGAGUGAUAUUCUUAUCCUCAAUCCACUCCUGUUGCCACUAAAAGGAUAUACUGCCUAGCUUGGUCCAUUUAGGACCCAGCUCUGCAUCUGAUGCAGUAUGUUACUUCCACCCAAUACAUUUGGCUGAGAAUCAGGGACGAAUUGUUUCCAAAGGAAAUUUGGGGAGCUGUUCCCAGAAGGAGGGGAGCAAUGCAUGGGGGUGGCCAACAAGAGAUGUACAUUGCAUUCAAAAUUGUGCCCAUUCACUCUGCUUUAGGCAUUAUAAAUACCACUUUGAACUGAAGGUAUCUCUGAGAAUGAAUUAUUUAUUCACUUACUCAUAGUCACUUACUGUUAAGCACCAACUAUAUGCCAGGCAUACAACUAGGUUAGGUAUUAGGUGUACAAACGUGAGUGAGACAAUGUCUGACUUUGAGAAACACAUAAUCUAGGGAAAAAAAUAGACUUAGAGGCACAUAACUAAAGCAUGUUCUAAUAAGUGCUGCUAUCAAAGUGUCUGUGGACACAGGUGGAAGUGAAGAACUCAGUGGGAGGGGUUAAAGGGAGAGGGCAUAACAGGAGAGGUGAGUUUUGAGUUAAGCCUUGAAGGGUAAAAAGAGAUUCCCCUAGAAUGGGAGAGGAAUGGCAUUAUCUCGAAGGCCAUGGUGCACUAGAAAAAGUUUUCAGUAGGGGACUAAUGUGGUUAGGUAUGUAUUUGAGAAAGAUCAUUCUGCUGGCAGUUGGUGGAUUCGGCAGAGGUGAGAAGGACUGGCAGCAAGGAGGAGGACCAGUUGAGCUGUUGCAGUAAUCAAGUCUAGUCAAGAUACAGCAAGGACCUGAACUCAGCUCGUUACUAUAGAGCUAGGGAGUAGACUCGAUAUAUUUGAGAAGAGCUGGGACUUGUUCAAUGUAGGAGAUGUGAAUCAGUGGUUAUAGAUGACUUUGAGGUUUUCAUUGUGAUAGGUAGGUAGUUAAGAUGAGUUCAGGUUUGUAGUUACUUGAGGUGCCUGCUGAACACCCAAGGGACACGUUUCCCAGGCAGUUGUAAAUAUAGAAAUGUACUGGAGGAAAGAUUUCUAAGCCAGGAAUUUAGACUGGAAAAGACAUCAGAAUGUAAAUGGAGAUUGAAGCCUUGAGGAAAGAGUGGGAUCACCCAAGGGGAAUUUCAAGUCAGAAGAAAAGAGGGCCUCAGAGUAGUCCCUGGGAAAAGACUACAUUUGAGAAGCCAGCAGAGAAUAAGAAGUCUGAGGAGGCAGCUAUGGAGAACGUAGGCCUGUGGAUCCCUCCAAGUAAUAAGCUUGUUUUUACUUGGAUUAGAGGUAAUGUCACCUGGAAUGAUUUGUGCCAUGAUGGUUAAGAGCAUGGACUCUGGGCUCUACCACCUCCUGCAACUGAUCUGUGGAUAAAAUAUUUAACCUCAUUUCCUCAUCUAUGUAAUGGGAAUAAAGUAGUACCUAAUUUUGGAGAAUUAAUUUGAGUAAAGCACCUUGAAAGUGCUUAGCACAUAAGAAGUGCUAUAGAAUGUUUGAUAAA